rnacentral:rRNA from 1 species
CCCUUAGAUGUCCUGGGCCGCACGCGUGCUACACUGACAUAUACAACGAGUAACUCCAGCUCCGUGAGGCAGCUGGUAAUCAGUAAUAUAUGUCGUGAUGGGGAUAGAUCUUUGGAAUUUUUGAUCUUGAACGAGGAAUGCCUAGUAAGCGCAAGUCAUCAGCUUGCGUUGAUUAAGUCCCUGCCCUUUGUACACACCGCCCGUCGCUCCUACCGAUUUCGAGUGGUCCGGUGAACUAUUUGGACCGAAGACAACUUCGUGUAGUCAUUGGAAAAUCUCGUAAACCACAUCACUUAGAGGAAGGAGAAGUCGUAACA